UGAAAGUUGAAGUUAUGUGAAUCCUGCAUUUCCAUACAGGUUGAACGCGCACACUACGAUUUGCACUUCAGGGACACCGUAGGUUUCAGCUCUGAUACUUCUGUUUCAGCUCCGAUACACAGCGGUUUAUUUUCUGUGGCUCGUUAAUUUUAUGCUUGGUUACUAUAUGUGAAAAUAAAGACUGUGCAAAGUCGUAUACACUUUUGUAAUCACAAUGAGACCAAUAUUGGAUUGAUUGAAUACUUCGUUAAAGAGCUUUUGAGAUUUGAAGAAUGUCUGUCGAAUGUCCAAUCUAAAAAUAACUUCACCGCAGUGAAAAACGAAAGUGAAAUAUUUUCUUUCAGGAUACAUUUUAAUACAACACAACGAAGACAAUCUACAGCAGAGGAAAACAAUAAAGUCCAUCAGAAGAGACCAGUUUCCCCUGUUCUCAGUUGUCUUUCAAAGAAGACUGAUCAGUCUAUGGAACCUCCCAUUUUGUUUAAAGACAGAGAUGUUCUCACUGAAGAAAGGCAAGUGUAUUCAGGUUUCCUGUAGCUCCAAGGUCAUUUUGGUUAAACUGAAGAAAUCAGUUUUUCCCUGUUCACAGGUUAGGGUUAUUAGAUUAAAAUGUUACUGGUAGUCAGUAGAUAAAAUGUAGAGCACCUAAAGAAAUACAAAGGUUUUGGGUCACUUUGAAAUAUCCAGAAGUUGCCUCUUCAUUGUUGACGUGGAGGGUGGUGUUCUACCGAUACAAAUUAAUAAAGCUUUGUGAAAUCUGAGCAUUAAUAAUUUAGUAUUUACUCAUUGGAAGUCAAUGUGACUAGAUAAUGAGAACAACAGAAAUAUCUGUGUUUAGAUUAUCUCUAUGUAGGUUGCGCUCUGAUAACCACAGGAAUGUUUAUAUUGACCAUCUGGCCUGGGGGUUACUGUUUUCUGAUCUUUGCUAGGUAGACAGGUGUGUCCUCUUGCUCAGUUGUGCACCGGAGCCUCCCACGCCUCUUUCUAUUCUGGUUAGAGUCAGUUUGUGCUGUUCAAUGAAGGUAGGAGUACACAAACUUUUCAGAGAUUUUCAGUUUCAUGGAAAUUUCUCACAUGGAAUAGCCUUCAUUUCCCAGAACAAGAAUUGACUGACAAGUGUCAGAAGAAAGGUUUUUGACAAUUUGAGCUUGAAAUCGAACCCACAAAAGCUGAUGCUGUAGAUACUAAACUAGAACUGAACUAAAGAAGGCCAGUUUUAUUGCUUCUUUAUUCAGCACAACAGUUUUCAAUAUUGCUAACAUAAUCGCAAAAGGGCUUUCUAAUGAUCAAUUAAGCCUUUUAAAAGGAUUUACUUUGUGUAUUAGCAAACACAAUGUGCCAUUGGAACACAGGACUGAUGGUUGCUGAUAAUGGGUCACUGUACGCUUAUGUAGAUAUUCAAUAAAUAAUCUGCCAUUUUCAGCUACAAUAGUCAUUUACAAAAGUAACAAUGUCUAUACUAUAUUAGUGAUUAAUUUGAUGUUAUUUUAACAAAAAAAGAGCUUUUCUUUAAAAAACAAGGACAUUUCCAGGUGACCCCAAACUUUUGAAUAGUAGUCUAACAAAGACUAAUUUAUUGAAAAGGAAUUCCCAAUUUCAGACACAUAGCAAUAAUAAUACUCCAAAAGUAUUUUAAAACGGUACAUUAUCAUUUCCAUUUUUGUAUUCCAAAAUCUUUACGGAGUUGUGGAAACAAGCUUUAUUGAGGAUGUUCAUUUGUUUUGUGUAUUGAAGCUGUUCUGUGUGUUUUUUUUAAAGGUGUGUGUAUUUUAUCUGUAAGUUGAGUCAUCUUUUUUUUCGCUCAGAGACCAACAGGACAGACCAAUUUCGGAUAUACCUAGUGUUGAGGACUUGAAAGACCAUCAACAUGGCAAGACAUUUCUUG
ensembl:lncRNA